GGCCUUAUAGUUCAAGGGAUAGAAUGGGAGUUUCCUAAACUCUAGAUUCGAGUUCGAGUCUCGGUGGGGCUA
rnacentral:tRNA from 1 species